AGAAGAACAUCUGAAGGAGAUUAAAGAUUUAUCGGUGAUGGAUGGGGAUGCGUCUGAUUAGCUUGUUGGCGGGGUAACGGCCCACCAAGGCGACGAUCAGUAGGGGUUCUGAGAGGAAGGUCCCCCACAUUGGAACUGAGACACGGUCCAAACUCCUACGGGAGGCAGCAGUGAGGAAUAUUGGUCAAUGGACGAGAGUCUGAACCAGCCAAGUAGCGUGCAGGAUGACGGCCCUAUGGGUUGUAAACUGCUUUUAUAAGGGAAUAAAGUGAGUCUCGUGAGACUUUUUGCAUGUACCUUAUGAAUAAGGACCGGCUAAUUCCGUGCCAGCAGCCGCGGUAAUACGGAAGGUCCGGGCGUUAUCCGGAUUUAUUGGGUUUAAAGGGAGCGUAGGCCGGAGAUUAAGCGUGUUGUGAAAUGUAGACGCUCAACGUCUGCACUGCAGCGCGAACUGGUUUCCUUGAGUACGCACAGAGUGGGCGGAAUUCGUGGUGUAGCGGUGAAAUGCUUAGAUAUCACGAAGAACUCCGAUUGCGAAGGCAGCUCACUGGAGCGCAACUGACGCUGAAGCUCGAAAGUGCGGGUAUCGAACAGGAUUAGAUACCCUGGUAGUCCGCACGGUAAACGAUGGAUGCCCGCUGUUGGUCUGAAUAGGUCAGCGGCCAAGCGAAAGCAUUAAGCAUCCCACCUGGGGAGUAC
rnacentral:rRNA from 1 species